ACGAACGCUGGCGGCGUGCUUAACACAUGCAAGUCGAACGGUGAAGCGCCUUCCUUUUUGGUGGGUGUGGAUGAGUGGCGAACGGGUGAGUAACACGUGAGUAACUUGCCCCCUUCUUCUGGAUAACCGCAUGAAAGUGUGGCUAAUACGGGAUAUUCUGGGUCUGUCGCAUGAUGGGUCUGGGAAAGAUAUUGUUUCGGUGGGGGAUGGGCUCGCGGCCUAUCAGCUUGUUGGUGGGGUGAUGGCCUACCAAGGCGGUGACGGGUAGCCGGCCUGAGAGGGUGGACGGUCACACUGGGACUGAGACACGGCCCAGACUCCUACGGGAGGCAGCAGUGGGGAAUAUUGCACAAUGGGCGCAAGCCUGAUGCAGCGACGCCGCGUGAGGGAUGGAGGCCUUCGGGUUGUGAACCUCUUUCGCCAGUGAAGCAGGCCUGCCUCGUUUGUGGGUGGGUUGACGGUAGCUGGAUAAGAAGCGCCGGCUAACUACGUG
rnacentral:rRNA from 1 species